UUAUUACUGUCUGAUUUGAUCGGAGGCAGGGGGUGGUCUCCAAUCAAACAGAGAAAAGGUCCUAGAGAAGGUUGCUUUGGUCAGCAUUAUUGAAAUGGGAAGAGAGGAUUUGCCUUUUAAUUGGUCUUUUCCAGAUUUCUGGUGAGAUUCCUAGCACCACCAACUGCAGGAAUACACAUCCCAAACAAAGCCCACUGGGGUACAUUCUCAGGAUGGUGCAUAUGGGAACAAUAAUUUAUGAACAGUAAUAGGAGCUGGGUAUGCAAUUCCCUCCCCAACACCAGGAUAAGUGUACCCCACUGAUUACUGAGUGCACUGAAAAUACUUGAGUGAAUAAGAUAAAAGCCAUCUGCAC
rnacentral:lncRNA from 1 species